CCUCAUGGUUCCUAGUCAGAUUCGUUUCUACUGUGCCGUGACAGGAACUCCCACAAGAAAUUUAUUUCUGAAUAAGAAGUAUGAUGGAGCUCUGUCUUCGUUUUUUUUCCCCAAAUGGUUCCUAAUUAUACCAAUUCCACUUAUUGAACUGUAGCUUUUAUACUAAAUCCUGGUAUAUAGUUAGGUGUAUAUCUGAACUCUGGAGAAUUUAAUUAGAGAAACUUUAUUGUGUCCUAAACCAGUAGUUUAGGAGAUCAGUGUUACUGUGGAUGCAGAUCCGUAAAGAUGUACCUAUAUUUCUCUACAACUAAUUAAUUUGGCCCUUGAUUGCCAUGUCCAUUAUGCAGCAGAACACUUAAUUCAGCCAAUUCAAGGUAUAUCCAUGUCCCACAGAUGAUCUAAACGCUGGGGGUUAGGAAUGGUAACAGCAUCUCUCUCAUACAGGCUUUGGUGAAGGGGGUGAAUUUGUCUGAUAACCGUCUUUAUAUUUUCUGUCAUCUAUAUCUGGCAUCUGGUAACUCAGUUUCCAGAUGAUUGUAUACUGGUAUCCGCUCAUGUCCCAGCAUCUGUGCCUUCAUUCCCCAUCCCUGGACCUCUCUCAGCUCACCUGAGUCCUUUUCAGUAGGAGGCCUGGAAGUCCCUGGCUGCUUUUCCUGCACCAGCUCAAAGUGCUGAGUGUCUAUGGAGCUGUGCUCAGGCCCAGCCACGUGGACAUCUCUUAGUAUUUGCCACUUCUCAGCUCUAGCCUAAUGUUGGAUAUGGGCUUCUCUAACAGGCUUUCAAUGUCUCUGCGCUGCACACUGAGAUGAGAGGCAGAAGUCUCCUGUGCUCUCGGGUCCUCCUAAAAAUGUAGCUACGAUUUCUUAGAGAUUCUCACUCCAGCAGCAUGGCCCCUUUCUUAGGAACACAUCAAUUACUCGUUGUCCUUCUAUCUUUUCCCAAUUAUCUUCUUUCCUCCCAUCUGUAACAUUUUCCUCUGAUUUUGGGGAGAGGGCAGUGGCUGUGGGGGAAGGGAAAAAAUGGCUUAAUCAUCACCCUGAACUUUCCAACUCCCUUGUUUAUAGUACAAACUUUGACUAUACUAUAAACUUUUUGUUCAGUCCAUUGGAUUCUGAUAUUCAAAGCCAAGCUUUGGUUCCAAAGAACCAAAACAACUUUUUGUCUCUCAAAAGCACAAUUCAUACAAAUCAAAAUAUUUUGACUCUUAAUAAGUUCAUUUCUGUUGCAAAUUUUAAGAGCCUGUUUUGGAGCUAGUGGCUAAGAAUAUGAUUCUUUGUUCUUGCUGAAUCAGGAAGAAUAAUGGGCACAAAGAAGGGGAGGCUGCAUGGGAAGAGAUUUUUUUUUAAUGUCUUAGAAAAUUAUCUGCCACACCAAGUCCUUAAUCUGGCCGGUAGACCCCUGCCUCCAUCUCUGUGAUCACUCCAUUGAUUGUGGGAUCUAUUUCAAUGAACUGCUCUCUGGUCCUUCCAGUUCAUUUCCUCUGCUCUUGCUUAGUUCCUACAGCCUUUUGAACUGGAGUCCUGCCCAGCUCCUUACCACAAACACUCCCAGAGACCAGAGUCUCAGAAUCUACUCCCUUUGGCUGGGCCAUCAUUUUAGUCACAGAGCUAUCUACCUCCCAAACUUUCACUUCUUCUCUGCUCUGGGAACCUCCUGAUAUAUAUUUCCAUCUGUCUCCUGUUGUAGCUGCUGGGUCUUCCCAGAUCAUCUCCCUGCAUCAGCCAACCCCUCUGCUUAACAGGAGAGUUAUAGAGUAUUCUAGUGUGGAAGCCAGGGGUUGGGGGCUGGGUGCAGGAUGCAGUGUGUGAGGAGAGCAGUGAAGAGAAUUACUGCAAGAAAGGCUGCAUGGACAGAAGGUGGAGUGCCAAGAACAAAGCAUCAUAAUGUUGCUUAAAAGGGAAAUGGGGAGGCUCUAGGAGAGGGAGAGAUACAGGUGACCCUGCUGGAGGACACAGCAAGAAGAUGGCCAUCUGUGAACCAGAGAGCAGGACUUGACCGGACACUGAAUCUGCUGGUGCCUUGAUCCUGGUCUUCCUAGCCUCCAGAACCGUGAGAAAUAAAUGGCUGUCAUUGAUAACACCA